UGGGGAAUUUUGGACAAUGGGCGAAAGCCUGAUCCAGCAAUGCCGCGUGUGUGAAGAAGGCCUUCGGGUUGUAAGGCACUUUUGUCCGGAAAGAAAUGGCUCUGGUUAAUACCUGGGGUCGAUGACGGUACCGGAAGAAUAAGGACCGGCUAACUACGUGCCAGCAGCCGCGGUAAUACGUAGGGUCCAAGCGUUAAUCGGAAUUACUGGGCGUAAAGCGUGCGCAGGCGGUUGUGCAAGACCGAUGUGAAAUCCCCGAGCUUAACUUGGGAAUUGCAUUGGUGACUGCACGGCUAGAGUGUGUCAGAGGGGGGUAGAAUUCCACGUGUAGCAGUGAAAUGCGUAGAGAUGUGGAGGAAUACCGAUGGCGAAGGCAGCCCCCUGGGAUAACACUGACGCUCAUGCACGAAAGCGUGGGGAGCAAACAGGAUUAGAUACCCUGGUAGUCCACGCCCUAAACGAUGUCAACUAGUUGUUGGGGAUUCAUUUCCUUAGUAACGUAGCUAACGCGUGAAGUUGACCGCCUGGGGAGUACGGUCGCAAGAUUAAAACUCAAAUGAAUUGACGGGGUCAUAGCUGUUU
rnacentral:rRNA from 1 species